rnacentral:rRNA from 1 species
GACAGAGGUCCCGAGCGUUAGGCGGAAUCACUGGGCUUAAAGCGUGUGUAGGCGGAGUUCUAAGUACCUUGUGAAAUCCCACGGCUCAACCGUGGAACUGCUUGGUAUACUGGUUCUCUUGAGCCACCUAGGGGCAACCGGAACAAACGGUGGAGCGGUGAAAUGCGUAGAUAUCGUUUGGAACGCCAAUGGUGAAAACAGGUUGCUGGGGGUGUGCUGACGCUGGAGACACGAAAGCCAGGGGAGCAAACGGG